rnacentral:rRNA from 1 species
AACGAACGCUGGCGGCAGGCUUAACACAUGCAAGUCGAACGCACCUUUCGGGGUGAGUGGCAGACGGGUGAGUAACGCGUGGGAAUCUACCCUUCUCUACGGGAUAGCUCCGGGAAACUGGAAUUAAUACCGUAUACGUCCUGAGGGAGAAAGAUUUAUCGUGGAAGGAUGAGCCCGCGUUGGAUUAGCUAGUUGGUGGGGUAAAGGCCUACCAAGGCGACGAUCCAUAGCUGGUCUAAGAGGAUGAUCAGCCACAUUGGGACUGAGACACGGCCCAAACUCCUACGGGAGGCAGCAGUGGGGAAUAUUGGACAAUGGGCGCAAGCCUGAUCCAGCCAUGCCGCGUGAGUGAUGAAGGCCCUAGGGUUGUAAAGCUCUUUCAGUGGGGACGAUAAUGACGGUACCCACAGAAGAAGCCCCGGCUAACUUCGUG